rnacentral:rRNA from 1 species
AGGGCGCAGGGCGGAUGCCUUGGCACCAGGAGCCGAAGAAGGACGUGAUAAGCUGCGAAAAGCUGCGGGGAGGAGCAAAUAUCCAUUGAUCCGCAGGUAUCCGAAUGGGGAAACCCGGCAGAAAGAACUUCUGUCACCGUAUGAUGAAUCCAUAGUCAUACGGAGGGAACCCGGCGAACUGAAACAUCUAAGUAGCCGGAGGAAGAGGAAGAAACAUCGAAUCCCUAAGUAGUGGCGAGCGAAAGGGGACGAAGCCCAAACCAAGGAUUUAUCCUUGGGGUUGAGGACCACAUACGAAGAAGCAGUAGGUAGCAGAACGGUUUUGGGAAAGCCGGCCAAAGAGAGUGAAAGCCUCGUAUGCGAAACAGACUGUGAUUCAGUGGUAUCCGGAGUACUACGGGACACGAGAAACCCCGUAGGAAGCAGGGGGGACCACCCCCCAAGGCGAAAUACUACCUGGUGACCGAUAGAGUAUAGUACCGUGAGGGAAAGGUGAAAAGAACCCCGGGAGGGGAGUGAAAGAGAACCUGAAACCCUGUGUCUACAAGCUGCGGAAGAGCGACUAACGCUCGACCGUGUACUUUUUGUAGAACGGUCCGGCGAGUUGCCGUUGCUGGCAGGUUAAGUACUUAAGGUACGGAGCCGAAGGGAAACCAAGUCUUAAUAGGGCGGUAAGUCAGUAACGGCAGACCCGAAACCGGGUGACCUACCCAUGGCCAGGAUGAAGUCUGCGUAAAAGUGGAUGGAGGUCCGAACACACGUCUGUUGAAAAAGGCGGUGAUGAGCUGUGGGUAGCGGAGAAAUUCCAAUCGAACUCGGAGAUAGCUGGUUCUCCCCGAAAUAGCUUUAGGGCUAGCCUCGGUAUAGUCUAAUGGAGGUAGAGCACUGAAUCGCUGCGGGGGCGUCAAAGUCUACCAAUGCGUAUCAAACUCCGAAUGCCAUAUAGAUGUUUACCGGGAGUCAGACUGUAUGAGAUAAGUCGGACAGUCAAAAGGGAAACAGCCCAGACCAUCUGCUAAGGUCCCAAAGUGUAUGUUAAGUGGUAAAGGAUGUGGGGUUUCGAAGACAACUAGGAUGUUGGCUCAGAAGCAGCCAUUCAUUCAAAGAGUGCGUAAUAGCUCACUAGUCGAGAGGUCCUGCGCCGAAAAUGUCCGGGGCUGAAACAUAACACCGAAGCAAUGGAAUAUACCGUAAGGUAUGUUGGUAGGGGAGCAUUGAUAACACGAAGAAGCGGUACCGUAAGGAGCCGUGGAGAGUUAUCAAGAGAGAAUGCCGGAAUGAGUAGCGAGAUGAAGGUGAGAAUCCUUCAGGCCGUAUAUCCAAGGUUUCCAGGGUAAAGCUGAUCUUCCCUGGGGAAGUCGGGACCUAAGCUCAGGCUGAGAAGCGUAGGCGAUGGACAACUGGUUGAUAUUCCAGUACCUCUGGCUAUCAGAAAUGUGGGGACACGGAGAUUCAGGGAGUGCCUGUAAAGGAUUCAGGUGCAAGCAUGGUUUAUGCCGGGCAGGCAAAUCCGUCCGGGUAAGUGAACUGUGUGAUGCGGACCGAAAUAUAAGUAGGGAAGCUCCUGGGAGAGCCGUCGAGAAAAGCCGCUAUUGUGUAGUCAGAGCCCGUACCGUAAACCGACACAGGUGGAUGGGGAGAGUAUCCCAAGGCCGGCGGGAGAAGCAUUGUUAAGGAACUCGGCAAAAUGGCCCCGUAAGUUCGCGAUAAGGGGUGCCUGUAGAGAUACAGGCCGCAGAGAAUAGGCUCAAGCAACUGUUUAGCAAAAACACAGGUCUAUGCGAAACCGUAAGGUGAUGUAUAUGGGCUGACGCCUGCCCGGUGCUGGAAGGUUACGGGGAGUGCUUAGGAGUAAUCCGAAGGUACGAACUUAAGCCCCAGUAAACGGCGGCCGUAACUAUAACGGUCCUAAGGUAGCGAAAUUCCUUGUCGGGUAAGUUCCGACCCGCACGAAAGGCGUAAUGAUUUGAGCGCUGUCUCAACAAUGCACCCGGUGAAAUUGAAGUACCAGUGAAGAUGCUGGUUACCUGCGCCAAGACGGAAAGACCCCAUGGAGCUUUACUCCAUCUUGGUACUGGGAUUAGAUAUAUGAUGUACAGGAUAGGUGGGAGACUAAGAAGCAGGGACGCCAGUUUCUGCGGAGUCAAUGUUGGGAUACCACCCUUCGUGUAUCUGGUUUCUAACCUUUGCCCGUUAUCCGGGCAGGGGACAAUGCCAGGAGGGGAGUUUGACUGGGGCGGUCGCCUCCGAAAGUGUAUCGGAGGCGCUCAAAGGUUCCCUCAGAAUGGUUGGAAACCAUUCGAAGA